rnacentral:rRNA from 1 species
CUUCUUGAAAUAAUAUGAGGUCGUGCCUGCCCACUGAAAAUUUUAAUGGCCGCGGUAUUUUGACCGUGCAAAGGUAGCAUAAUCAUUAGUCUUUUAAUUGGAGGCUGGAAUGAAUGGUUUGACGAGACAAAAACUGUCUCAAUUUAAUUAAUUGAAUUUUACUUUUAAGUUAAAAGGCUUAAAUAAUAAUAGGGGACGAGAAGACCCUAUAGAUCUUUAUAUAAUAUUUUAAUUUGAAUAGUUAUGUUUAUUUGAAAUUUAAAAUUUUUUAUUUGAUUGGGGUGAUAAGGGAAUAAUAAAACUUCUUUUUAUUUAACUAUGAUUUUUGAAUAAUUAAUCUUGUAUUAUGGAAUUAAGAUUAAGAUACCUUAGGGAUAACAGCGUAAUUUUGUUGGAGAGUUCAUAUUGAUAAUGAAGAUUGCGACCUCGAUGUUGGAUUAAGAAUAUAAUAGGGUGCAGGAGCUUUAUGAAUUGGUCUGUUC